CUUGUUGACAUAAUGACUACAAUAAGCAUGGUCAGCGGUUUGCCUUCUGGACUGAUGAGGCCAGAAACUUGCUCCAAGGAACUCUUCAGCCAGUGUACAGAGUGCUAGCUCAGAGGAAAUCCACAUUCAGGCUGUCGAUGACCACACUGCAGAGGGUGUACUCAACGGGAAGCCCUCUAAGUGGUCUCAUAAGCUAACCUCCUCCCGAGUGUCUGUCUACCUCGACAGUGAGGAACAACUGUCCUGUUUUGAGAGGAGUGCUGCACAGGACACCAACACAACUGAGCUUCACAGAUGAAGUGCAGAGGUAUGCCGGACCAUGUAAUGUGUUUGUGAGUGUCCUGCUCCUGCACUUA